GGAAAGCGAAUACGAGAGCUCAUCGCACAUACCAGUAUCCUCAACUCUUGCUGCGGCUGCAAGGCCACACACGGAACCACGCAUGCUUGGUGCUUUGCAC
rnacentral:lncRNA from 1 species